ACGGAAGGCAGCAGUGAGGAAUAUUGGUCAAUGGGCGGAAGCCUGAACCAGCCAAGUCGCGUGAAGGAAGAAGGUAUUAUGUAUUGUAAACUUCUUUAGACGCAGAGAAAUAAGCUCCACGCGUGGAGUGAUGCUAGUAUGCGUAGAAUAAGGAUCGGCUAACUCCGUGCCAGCAGCCGCGGUAAUACGGAGGAUCCGAGCGUUAUCCGGAUUUAUUGGGUUUAAAGGGUGCGCAGGCGGUCUUUUAAGUCAGUGGUUAAAUAGUGAGGCUCAACCUCAUUCCGCCAUUGAUACUGGGAGACUUGAUUGCGGUCGAGGUUGGCGGAAUUCGCCGUGUAGCGGUGAAAUGCAUAGAUAUGGCGAAGAACUCCGAUUGCGUAGGCAGCUGACCAGGCCGUAAAUGACGCUCAUGCACGAAAGUGCGGGGAUCGAACAGGAUUAGAUACCCUGGUA
rnacentral:rRNA from 1 species